UUUAUAAAAAUUAUAAAUUUAGAAUUUUUAAAUAAAAUAUUUUUAAUUUUUAUUAUGAUUAUAAGAAAAAAUUAAUUUAAUAAUAGUUAAUUAGUAUAGAUAUAGAAUUUUUAAAUAAAAUUGUUAAAGAAAAAUUUAAAUUUUGUACCUUGUGUAUCAGGGUUUAUUAAUUAAGUUUUGCUUAAAGUAGAAUUCUCGAUUUUAAAAGAGCGAAUUAUUUAUAAAUUUUAUUGUAAAAUAAAUAUUUAUAAUAAAUAAUUAGUAAUGAAACGUUAUUCGUUUUUAAAUAUAUCUAGUUUUUAAAGAAAAAAAUUUAAUUUUAUUUAUAUUAAUAUUUUGUUAUAAAUUUAAAUAAUAAAGUUUAAAAUAAAUUAUACUUUAAGGGAUAAGCUUUAUAGUAAAUAAAUUAUAAGUUAUUAUAUUUAUUUUAAAAUGUAGAAUUAGAAAUUUUCAUCAAAUAAUUUGUUAUAAUUAAUUAAAAUUAAUUAAAGAUUUAUAUUAACUUUAAGUUUUUUAUUUAAAUAUUAAAUUUAAUAAUUUAAUUUAAACAAUAAUGAUAAAAUUAGUAUAAAAUAUUGUUAUUAUAAAUUAAAAAUUUAAGGUUAUAAAAAGGAAUUCGGCAAAUAUAUUUUUCGCCUGUUUAUUAAAAACAUGUCUUUUUGAUAUUAAUUUAAAGUUUAACCUGCCCACUGAUAAAUUAAAUGGCCGCAGUAUUUUGACUGUGCAAAGGUAGCAUAAUCAUUAGUUUUUUAAUUAAGAACUGGAAUGAAAGGUUGGACGAGAAAAUAACUGUCUCUUUAUAAAUUAUUUAGAAUUUUAUUUUUAAGUUAAAAAGCUUAAAUUAGAUUAAUAGACGAGAAGACCCUAUAGAGUUUAAUAUAAUAUUUAUUAAUUAUUAUAAUUGAAUUUUUUUUUAAGAUUAUGAGUUAUUAUAUUUAAUUGGGGUGAUUAAAAAAUUUAUAAAACUUUUUUUUUAUUUAAACAUUAAUGUAUGAAUAAUUGAUCCAUAUUUUAUGAUUAUAAGAUUAAAUUACCUUAGGGAUAACAGCGUUAUUUCUUUUAAGAGUUCAAAUCAAUAAAGAAGUUUGCGACCUCGAUGUUGGAUUAAAAUUAAAUUUUGGUGUAGAUGCUAGAAGAUUAGGUCUGUUCGACCUUUAAAAUUUUACAUGAUCUGAGUUUAAACCGGUGUGAGCCAGGUUGGUUUCUAUCUUUAAUAUAUUAUAAUAUUUUAGUACGAAAGGACCAAAUAUUAGUAAAAAUUAUUAUUUUAUGAAUAUUAAUAAAAU
rnacentral:rRNA from 1 species